UCCCUGGUGGUCCAAUGGCUAAGACUCUGCACUGCCAAUGCAGGGGGCCUGGGUUUGAUCCCUGGUCAGGGAA
rnacentral:tRNA from 1 species